rnacentral:rRNA from 1 species
UACGGGAGGCAGCAGUGAGGAAUAUUGGUCAAUGGGCGCUAGCCUGAACCAGCCAAGUAGCGUGAAGGAUGACUGCCCUAUGGGUUGUAAACUUCUUUUAUAAGGGAAUAAAACGGGGAACGUGUUCCCCCUUGCAUGUACCUUACGAAUAAGGAUCGGCUAACUCCGUGCCAGCAGCCGCGGUAAUACGGAGGAUCCGAGCGUUAUCCGGAUUUAUUGGGUUAAAGGGUGCGUAGGCGGAAUGAUCAGUCAGUUGUGAAAGUUUGAGGCUCAACCUUAAAAUUGCAUUUGAUACUGUCAUUCUUGAGUGUAUAAGAGGUGGGCGGAAUUCGUGGUGUAGCGGUGAAAUGCUUAGAUAUCACGAAGAACUCCGAUUGCGAAGGCAGCUCACUGGGGUACAACUGACGCUGAGGCACGAAAGUGUGGGUAUCAAACAGGAUUAGAUACCCUGGUAGUCCACACAGUAAACGAUGAAUACUCGCUGUUUGCGAUAUACGGUAAGCGGCUAAGCGAAGCGUUAAGUAUUCCACCUGGGGAGUACGCCGGCAACGGUGAAACUCAAAGGAAUUGACGG